CCUACGGGAGGCAGCAGUGAGGAAUAUUGGUCAAUGGCCGGAAGGCUGAACCAGCCAUGCCGCGUGAAGGUCAGUGCCCUAUGGGCGUUAAACUUCUUUUGUGCGGGAGCAAUAAUGGUCACGUGUGGCCAGACGAGAGUACCGUACGAAUAAGCAUCGGCUAACUCUGUGUAAGGAGCCGCGGUAAUACGGGGGAUGCAAUCGUUAUCCGGAUUUAUUGGGGUUAAAGGGCGAGUAGGCUGUGAGGUAAGUCAGCGGUGAAAUGCCCCCGCUCAACGGGGUGAAGUGCCAUAGAUACUGCCUUGCUGGAAUGCGGAUGCCGUGGGAGGAAUGUGUGGUGUAGCGGUGAAAUGCAUAGAUAUCACACAGAACACCGAUUGCGAAGGCAUCUCACGAGUCCGCGAUUGACGCUGAUGCACGAAAGCGUGGGUAUCAAACAGGAUUAGAUACCCCAGUAGUC
rnacentral:rRNA from 1 species